GAACGCUGGCGGCGUGCCUAAUACAUGCAAGUCGAACGGAGAAUGUAGCAAUACGUUCUUAGUGGCGAACGGGUGAGUAACGCGUUGGUGACCUGCCCCAAAGUGUGGGAUACCAGUUCGAAAGGACUGCUAAUACCUCAUGUGGUCACUGGGAUUAGAUGCCCGGUGAUUAAAGGAGAAAUUCGCUUUGGGAGGGACCUGCGUCCCAUCAGCUAGUUGGUAGGGUAAUGGCCUACCAAGGCUUUGACGGGUAGGGGACCUGAGAGGGUGGCCCCCCACAAUGGAACUGAAACACGGUCCAUACACCUACGGGUGGCAGCAGUAGGGAAUAUUGCAUAAUGGGCGAAAGCCUGAUGCAGCAACGCCGCGUGCAUGAUGAAGGCCUUCGGGUUGUAAAAUGCUUUUAGCAGGGAUGAGGAAGGACAGUACCUGCUGAAUAAGCCUCGGCUAACUACGUGCCAGCAGCCGCGGUAAAACGUAGGAGGCGAGCGUUAUCCGGAUUUACUGGGCGUAAAGCGCGUGCAGGUGGUUCGGUAAGUUGGAUGUGAAAGCUCCUGGCUUAACUGGGAGAGGUCGUUCAAUACUGCCGGACUUGAGUGUGGGAGAGGGAGGUGGAAUUCCGGGUGUAGUGGUGAAAUGCGUAGAUAUCCGGAGGAACACCAGUGGCGAAAGCGGCCUUCUGGCCCAUUACUGACACUCAGACGCGAAAGCUAGGGGAGCGAACGGGAUUAGAGACCCCGGUAGUCCUAGCUGUAAACGAUGUGGACUUGGCGUCGGUGGGUUAAAAGCCAUCGGUGCCGAACCUAACGCGAUAAGUCCACCGCCUGG
rnacentral:rRNA from 1 species